GACGAACGCUGGCGGCGUGCUUAACACAUGCAAGUCGAACGGAAAGGCCCUGCUUUUGUGGGGUGCUCGAGUGGCGAACGGGUGAGUAACACGUGAGUAACCUGCCCUUGACUUUGGGAUAACUUCAGGAAACUGGGGCUAAUACCGGAUAGGAGCUCCUGCUGCAUGGUGGGGGUUGGAAAGUUUCGGCGGUUGGGGAUGGACUCGCGGCUUAUCAGCUUGUUGGUGGGGUAGUGGCUUACCAAGGCUUUGAAGGGUAGCCGGCCUGAGAGGGGGACCGGCCACAUUGGGACUGAGAUACGGCCCAGACUCCUACGGGAGGCAGCAGUGGGGAAUAUUGCACAAUGGGCGGAAGCCUGAUGCAGCAACGCCGCGUGCGGGAUGACGGCCUUCGGGUUGUAAACCGCUUUCGCCUGUGACGAAGCGUGAGUGACGGUAAUGGGUAAAGAAGCACCGGCUAACUACGUG
rnacentral:rRNA from 1 species